CCGGUCCGAGUGGAGUGAGCAAGCUGAGUGGUUUAUGGUCGGGUCUCAGAAACCAGUAGCGCUUGCAGCAUGACUGACCAACUGACCGGAGAGCAGAUUGCAGAAUUCAAAGAGGCGUUUUCACUAUUUGACAAGGAUAGUGAUGGAACUAUAACAACAAAGAAAUCGGGAAUGCUAAUGAGGUCUCUUGGGCAGAAUCCCACAGAAGCAGAGUUACAGGUCAUGAUUAAUGAAGUAGAUGCUGAUGGUAACAUAACAAUUGACUUCUCUGAACUUCUGACAACGAUGGCAAGAAAAAUGAGAGAUACAGACAGUGAAGAAGAAAUUAGAGAAGCAUUCCGUGUGUUUGGUAAGGAUGGCAAUGGCUAUAUUUGUGCAGCAGAGCCUCACCGUGUGAUGACAAACCUUGGGGGGAAGUUAGUAGAUGAAGAGGUUGAUGAAAUGGUCAAGGAAGCAGAUAUUGAUUUGAUGGUCCAGUAAACUAUGCAGAGUUUGUACAAAUGAUGACAGCAAAGUGA